rnacentral:rRNA from 1 species
AGCGUUGUUCGGAAUUACUGGGCGUAAAGCGCACGUAGGCGGACAUUUAAGUCAGGGGUGAAAUCCCGGGGCUCAACCCUGGAACUGCCUUUGAUACUGGGUGUCUUGAGUACGAGAGAGGUGAGUGGAAUUCCGAGUGUAGAGGUGAAAUUCGUAGAUAUUCGGAAGAACACCAGUGGCGAAGGCGGCUCACUGGCUCGUAACUGACGCUGAGGUGACGAAAGCGGUGGGGAGAC